AUUUUGCUUUUGUAUUCUAUCUAUUGCUAAAAAACUACUAGGACUUAUCUAGUAGUAAUUAUUACUUAAUACUUAAUACCCAAGUCAUUUUUUUGUUAUACUUUCAACUUUGCAUCCGAUGUGGCUGGCCAUACAAAUAUUCCAAAUUUCAAACAUUCCAAUAAUAAUGUUGUAGAAAAAUUUUCUAUAAUUGAUUCCUGGUAUACAAUGGUUUCGAUUAAUACCAUAGGUGUGAUUAGCACAAUAAAUGAUUAUGAAUAUUGUAUGAUUUUGGUAGUUAAUAGUUUAUACUCGAUAGCACUUUCAUUACGUUGUUUCAAUAUUGUAUGUACCUACUAUUUGUGUAGGCAUUGCUUUUUAAUUUAUAAAUCUAUAAUGGGAAACCGAAAAGACAAGUUAUUUGUUAUUGUUACUGUUUUUAAAAGUUACAUAAUAUAUAAUGCUCGAAUUGGGAAAAAAUAAGUAGAGGAGCUCAAUCCAACGAUUUAAAAACUGCGUUCCACAUGUAUAAUUACUUAAUACAGACCGGAGGGGAGGGCUAAUAUAUGGAAGAAAAGUGUGAUGAUGAUCAAUAGACAAUAUAGUAUACAAUUUUAAAAAUUAUCUUCAUUAAAAAUUUAAAGUAAUAUAAUUGGCCUGCAAUAUUUGUUUACAUGGUAAGAUACAGUGGCGGAGUCUUUUUACAGGGCGGUCUAAAAGAAGUCCAACAUAAUAUAUAUAAUAUAUUAAGGUAGGCACAUUCCACGAUGUAGAGAAGAUAUAUCGUAUUAUCGUGGCAGUCAUACGAUAGUGAAUUAGUGACACAAAUGGUGUGAGGAGGGAGCAACACACUGGUCUGGUGCUCACGGCCUGAUUUUUUUGGCCCGGAGUCCGGACUCCGCGAUUCAACACAUGCACAUAGCCCAAAUUUUAUGGUCAUUUUUCAGAGUUGUCUAAUUAUCUAUUUAUAUUUUAUACUAUGAUAACUAUAUAAUCAUUUCCGCGAAAAAUAUAAAUAUAAAACGUACCUAAUUCGUAAACAGCCUACUAUAUCUACAAUUAUGUCUGUGUAAUUGUACGUCUGUACGUAAAGUGUAAUACGUAUGAUAUACAAAAACCAGACCCUAUAGCAUUACACAUAUUAUAUUUUUUAAAUUAUUUUUGUAAUAAUAUUUGAAAAUAAAAAUUUAAAUUUGUGUGUUAAAUCAAGAUUUCAAAGCGGGCCAUCGUACUUCUUGAAGGUUCGUACACUUGAUAUAAAACCGAUACUACAUCUAUGCAUCGAUGAUUGAUACACUAAUUUCUUCCUUAAUAAAGAAAAAUAACCAAAAAUAGACAGUAAAAAUGUUGCUAAAUGUUAAAAUUUAUGAGCGUAUUAUUUCGUAUAAUUGUUUUUGAUGCUUUGGGUUUGGAAUCGUCUAAAUCAACUAUCAAGUACCUACUCGAAUGAGUCGAAUGCAGGUAUGAAAUGAAAUACUGAUGUGGUUAAUAAAAUAUAAUAAUAAUAAUAAUAAUAAUAAAUAUGUGCAGAACGUAAACGUCGAUGUAUUAAAUAAAAUAAUGAUUUUGAAACAUCAAACAACCCUGGUUAAUUUUUUAAUUAUUUUUUUAGUAUUAAAAUAUGCAAAAGGUAAUACAUUUAAAUUAUGCGUAAUUUGUUUUUAUUUCGGCGCCAUUUCUAAGAGGUUGGAGAUAAUAACAUAACCUCACGUUUAAAUUAUCAACAAUAUUCUAUGGUGAAUGUGAAUGGUGAUCCGUUGUUAUCAUUAUGUUUGAGUUUAGUACUAAUUUUUCGAUUUUGUCCUGUUAUUUUUCGUUUUCUAUCAUUUUAUAGUGCAAAAUUUUGUUUCAGCCAUUCGACAUGUGAACGCGUAGUUGCAAUUUUAAAUUUUUAAAUAUUCACAAUUCGUUUUGCAAUUGUUGAAUUAUUGAAAAUUGACUGUUUAAAUAAUUGAGUGAAGUGAUUGUUUACAUAUAUAUUGUGUAUUUUUUUUUUAGCUUUAUAGUGCUAAGUGAAUAUUAACAACUAUUUAUAAUUAAAUGAUGCAUACAUUACUAAAAACUAAGAUUAUAAAUAUCCAAUUAAAAUAAUACUUAUAAAAUUAAUUUUGGUUUGUAUCCAUUCUAAAAAGUUAAGCGUCGUUAGCAAAUCUCCUUUAAAGUAAUACUUAGUUGUAUGAUAAUUGAUAAUGCUUGUUAAUAUAAUCCAUGUUUUAAUUCAAUUAGAAUUAAGUAAAUAUGCUUUUAAAUUAUUUUAAAUCUACAAUAUAAGAACAGAAGUUUAAGGUAAAUCACAAAAUUAAUAGUUGUUAUUAACAAUUGUAAAUUUGGAUAAUUUAAAUGUGUUAUUUCAUUGAAAUAAGUAUAAUAUAUUAAUUUUAAAACAUUUCAUUUGUUGUGAUAUAUUUGAUAGCAUUGUCAAAAGUUAAAUCAGAUUUUUCAAGUACCUAUAUGGUUUUAGUAUAUUGUGUAGGUAUUAUUAUUUUAUCAGUUUUGUUUCUUAUUUAAAAUUAAAGUGCAUACCUACCUAUCUAUAGUCUAGAAUAGUUUAUUAAAUCUUAUUAUCCAUGACGACAAAUUUCUACUCAAUCUAACCAUUAAUUUAUUUUAUCUUACCAUUUGUUGGUAUGUGUUAAUUUUGUUAUAAUAUGCAUACUUGUAUGUGAUUACUAAAUUAUAGAUGAACAAACUAUUAAUAAUCAAUGAAAAAGAUGAAAAUGGGUAUUAAAAUAUAUUUUACUCAAGUUAGUUUUCGGCACAUUACCUAAUACGUUAAUGUUCAAAAUCAUUAAUAAUAAUAAUAAUAAAGAACUUUUUCAAGACAUGAGUUAUUAAAACAAUAUUAUCCCAAAAAUGUUGUAAGCCACCUUAAAAAUAAAUAGUCAUUAUUAUUUUCAAUUACUUACAGGCUUAUGGCCACCAUAACAUCUAUAAUAAUAAAAAAAAAAAAAAUAAUUAUUUUAUUUAACUUUUAGCUUAACUAUUAUUUGUAGUCAUAUACUCAUAUGUAUUUUAAUAUUUAUUUGAAAAAUAAUAUGUUUUGUUGUAUACCAAAUAUUUUAAUAAAUCUUAUAAUACUUACUUAAUAUUUCAUGUUAACUACCUAUUUAAUUUGUUUAUAUUAUUAAAAUUACUCACGGAUUCAUUAUUUUUUCUACUUAAUGACUUAAAAGUAUUAUAAAUUUGUAAUAAAGUAAGUUUUUGAAUUAGUAUACAGUGUUUUUUUAGUUGGAUAUUUAUAUAUUUGUAAUUUAUAAAAUAACUCAAGUGUUUUUAAAAGUGAUAAUUUUAUGAAAAUUAGUUGGCUGUUGUUUUAUGUUUGCUGUGAAUUAUCAGGAUAUCUACUCUUAGAACUACUGGUAAAGUCCUGUAUUCAAUUGCAGUUGCAAAUAAGAUCUCAAUUGAUUUUUGAACAUUUUCAAGUUUGGAGUUAAAGGUAAGGCGAGAGACAAGAAAAUAUUUUUUCAAAUUAUAUAUUUAGCUAUUAAUAUAUUAUUAAAUAUUUAUUAUUCACGAAAUAUAUAUUUUAUAAUUUUAUAUUUAAAAAUUUUAAAUUUUAAGUUUUGAAACAAUUUUUCUUCAAAAACUUAGUUGAGUUAACUAGGAAGUAUAUGCAAGAUGUUUUAUGGAAAGUAGAUGUUGCUAUGAUAUUUUUAUAUUUUAUAAUUUAUAGUUAUAUGUAUUAUUUAAAAUACUUAUCAUUUAGUCAAAUACACUUUAGUACGUGGUGUUAAAUAAGUUAAACUUAUAUCUUAUAACAUUAUUAUAUAGAUUUUUUUAUUAUUAUCAGUGUUUUUAUUUUUAAUUUUUAUAUCUUUUAUGCAGUAUAAUAUUUUUUUAAAAUAAAAAUUCAAUAUAUUAUAUCAAAAUAAAAGAUUACAUUUUUGUAUUUAUUUUAUUGAAAAAAGAAAAUAUAGGUAAGUGUAUUUAUAUUUUUUUAGUCUAUAGAUUGUAUCUAUUAUUAAAUAAGCUAUUAUAGAAUUUAAUUAUUUAUAUGUAUAUAUAUAUAUAUAAUGAGUUACAUUCUUUUCCUGCCAUCCUACAUUUAUAUUUUCUAUUUGAACAUUUUUUAAUUACAUCAAACAUAACCUAUUAUCUUAAAUUUGAAUAUUUCUUUGUUGUUUCUCUUAAUGUAAUAGUUAGAUCAUGGCACAUCCUCUACAGUUACUAAUUUUUCAUUGAAUGUAGUAAACUGGUAGAGAAAACACUAUAUAUUAACCAUUGCUGUGAAGUAUUUGAGUAAAAGUAUUUAAAUAUUUUUUUAAAUAUUGAAUAACUUUUUAAAUACUUUCAGCAUGAAGUAUUUUAAAUACUUUUUACUUGUAUUGAAUAUUUUUGGUUUUUUUUUUCAUAAAUUUUAUUUGUAUUAGAAAUAUUUGGUUUGGAAAAUAUUAUUACGUGCUAUAGUUGCUACAAUAGUUGAAUAAUAGUUUUAUUAGAUAAGAUGAUCAUAAUACAUUUGAGAUAGAAACUGUUGAAAAUAAUGUUGAAAUCCUUCUUCUACAUUUUUUCAGUUUUGGUCUUAAACUUGUGAUGAUAGCUAUGACACUGUUUUAAAUAAAGAAAUAGAUCAAUAUUUGGGAACAUCACUGUCUAAAGAUAUAGACAGUUCAUAUCUUUAACCAACAAUUACAAAAGUAAGAAUUACUACUGAGUUUUUAAUUUUUAUAAUUGUAUGUAGGUAUUAUUCACUUAUUUUUAGUAUUUUUAUUUAAUAUUAACAUUAACAUAAUUAAAAUAGAUUUUUAUUAAAUUCAAUACUCAGCAUUUAGUAGCGCUUCAGUUGAGUGAGUAUUUAGUGUGGAUAGAGCAACCAUGACCAAAAAGAGAACCAGUAUAAGUGAUGACAAUUUUGAAAACAUAAUGUUUUUAAAGUGUAAUAAACAUUUAUUUAAUAAAUUAAUUAAAUAAAAAUGAUGAUAAAUUUA